GAACUGCGAUAAGUAAUGUGGAUUGCAGAAUUCAGUGAAUCAUCGAGUCUUUGAACGCACAUUGCGCCCCCUGGCAUUCCGGGGGGCAUGCCUGUCCGAGCGUCAUUGCUGCCCUUCAAGCCCGGCUUGUGUGUUGGGUCGUCGUCCCCUCCGGGGGACGGGCCCGAAAGGCAGCGGCGGCACCGCGUCCGGUCCUCGAGCGUAUGGGGCUUUGUCACCCGCUCGAUAAGGACCGGCCGGGCGCCAGCCGGCGUCUCCAACCUUUUUUUCUCAGGUUGACCUCGGAUCAGGUAGGGAUACCCGCUGAACUUAAGC
rnacentral:misc_RNA from 1 species